GAACGCACAUUGCGCCUUCUGGUAUUCUGGGAGGCAUGCCUGUUUGAGCGUCAUUAAACUUAACUCUAGCAGUUUUGCUUGGAUAUGAAGGAAGAGCAAGCACAUUGUAGGCUCUCCUUUGAAAUGCAUUAGUAGAUAUAAAGUUGUGAAUUACACUUGUUUUGAUGUAAUAGUCUUUAUUAGUUGUGAUUUGUAUACAGUUAUAUCUUGCUUUAACAAUUGUUUUUUUCUGGGCAGUUGAUUAUAAGAGUCAUAUGAAUCUUAUUUUAAAACACCUGCAAAAAAAUAUAAUUUUAUAGUUGACCUCAAAUCAGGUAGGGAUACCCGCUGAACUUA
rnacentral:misc_RNA from 1 species